CCAUCCAACGGAUGUUUUCUUCAAUGGUUUCAAUUGUCUGUUGGACACAACGGAGCUGAGAACCAUUUUCUUUCAAAGAGCUGAAGAAUCCUUUUACCUUGUGAGGAAAAAGUGAGUUUUAAAAAAUUAAUUUUAUUACAUUAACCAGAUGUAACUUUAGUUAAAACUGAAGCCAAAAUUCCAGCAUUUGUCAAAAUUCUAUAUAGAAGGCAGUCCCAGCUGUCUGAAUAGGAUUAUGUACACAUAAGCUGUAUGAAAUGAGCUCAUGCCUCAUGAUGUCAAGUUCUGUGUUUUUUCUCUGCAGUUCUUUUGUUUAUUCCCAGCUGCCAGACUUUAAAAGACUUCACUGUUUACCAUUUUAUAAUUAAGGUUUAAUUGUGUCUAUUUAAUGUGUUAUUCUGUUCUAUACUCACAGAUGCAAACUUCAUUUUUUAAAAACAUGAUAUCUAAAAAGCAGAAUGUGCCAUCUCUUCUUUGCCAAGCAAAACAGUUUCCACCAUGUAAGUGCCGUCUUCCUCCAUGGGCCUGGCCUUGUAUGUUAUUAUAGAAACACUGUGGGGAAUGGGAUUCUUAGCAAGUUAUGGUGGUAAAACCCAAACCUUGCCAAAUUUUUUUAACCUAAUCUACAAUUAAUGUAUUGUUGUCUCAAAGUUCCCCAUGAUUUUAAAGAGAUAAGAAACUCUUGUCUAUCUCCUGAAAAAUAUCUUUGUUCUUGUUUCAUUUCUGGGUAUCUUAACCUCUUGAGCUCACAUGACAGAUAGGCUGGCUUUGCCACAGGAUUGGCCAUUGUGCGAUUCUGUUUCACCUUAAAGGGUUAUGACCCUUUUCCCAUAAAUUUUCACAGCAUUAAUCCAUCAAUUUUUGAUUUGGUAUCCAGGAAGCAAAUGUAGGCCAAGAUGUAUUAUUUAUUCAGCAUAGAUUCCAGAUAGUCAAUUCCUUAGAAAUCCAUGUCAUAAUACCAUAUUAUUAGUUUGGGAAAAAGAGGGGAGUAGGAAUGGGUUUUAGAAAGAUAAGAUUUCAAUUUUAAAUGAUGCAGAGUUGUUUUAAAAUUAUAUGUCAAUACGGUACAACUUUUCAAUGAGCAGAAGGCAUGGCCUCCUGCUGUAGCAACCUGGAAAAUACUUCUCCACUGUCUACCUUAAGUUGUAGCUCAACCUACUGCUUCAUACACGCUCAGAACACAAGAUUAAUUCACAGUCAAUUAAAAAUCACUUUGAGCACUAUUCAACAGUCAAAGCACAUCAAUAACCUUACUAAUUGCUCAAAUCAUUACUCCUGAAGGAGCUCAUUAUGAUAGCUCCACUAAAAACAGACCUUCUACAACAGUGAAGCCAGCUGCUAACCAUUACUCUUACCCUUGUCCUGACCCAAAAAUCAUCUCUUCUGUCUUCACCUGUCUUGGAAAUGCAACAUCUCAACUGAAUAUUUGAUUCAGACUUGGCUCUUCAAGAACAAUUUCUGUGCAAUAAGUGGCACAAUACAGGGAUAGGAAAACAGGUUUAUCCUACUAACUUGAUUUGAGCAAAUGAUUUAACUUUCAUGGAACCCAGUCUCCUCAUCUGUAAAAUGAAGAGCAGUGGUGAAGGAUGUAGUUAUAUAAUGCAGGUAAAGUGCAAAACCCCAAACCCAGCAUGUAUCAGGGACUUAACCUCAUCCAUUUGUUCACCAAUAUUUACUCUGAUAUUUAUUCAUCUGUCUGCUGUAAUUACCAUGCUAGACACUGAGGAUGCAGCAGUGAAUCAGGCAAGCAUCCUCCCCUCAUGGAGUUUACAGUCUUUUGGGGGAUACACGCAGUAAAUAUGAUUACUGUAAAUAAACUGCUAUGAAGAAAAUAUGCCAGGGGUACGCUAGUAACUGGGGAGAUGUGGCCUGCAUUGAACUGCAUGGUUUUGGGGAAGGUGAUUUGAGCCGAGACCUCUCAAAGAUAAAAUGCCCCUUUCUAGUGAAAAGUUGGUGAAUACUUUCUAGUGAAAAGCCAGGCAGAGAGAAGAAAAAGUGCAGAGGCUUAAAGACAGGAGAACCAAGUGGUAGCCUAGGAACAGAAGGAGACUGAGUGGCUGCAGUGUUGUGAGAGAGUAAACCAGGAGAGCCUGUGGGAAUUGGUACCAGAGAGGUCCUCAGAAGCCAGGUCAUCAAGGUCGUGGACACAUGGGAAGGAGGGAUUUGGAAUUUACUGCAAGAACAAUAGGCAGGGUUCAAGAAGCCAGGGUCAGUUAUGGGCUGACUUGCAGUCUUAAAUGUGGAAAAUGUUUUGCUAUUGGCAAAGUGGCAAGGGGGAGGCCAGUUAGGACACUAUUGCAAUAGGCAAGGCAAGAGAUGAGAAAGGACUGGAUGAGGGUAAGAGCAGAGAGAUGUGCGCAAGAUCCAGUGCAUGUGCUGAGAGAGGACCAGCAGGACUUGCGUAAUUAGAUGUGUGGGGAAGGAAGGACUCAGGAUGACUCCUAUAUUUUAUAUGUCCAUAGUUUGCUCUCCAUUAUGAUAACAUCUCAGGCUCUUUAAUUUUCAUGCCCUGCUUCAGGGUCUUUGCACCUGAUGUUUCCUCUGCACACAAUACUCCUCUAGAUAUCAGCGUUUCCUUCAAUAUCUCCUCAAAUGUCUCCUAAUCAUCCUAUAAAACGGCACCAACCCUCUACCCCAAUCCCUCUCCUUGCCUUAUUCAUCUUCAGAGCAUGUAACUACUUGACAUCAGUUGAUUUGUCUAUAAUUGUCUGAUUCCCACAGCAGAAAUUUCAGCUCCAUGACAGCAAAGGUUUUGUCUGUCUGUUCACUGUUACAGCCACAUAACCUAAAACCAUGUGUGGCAUAUAUGUCUUGAAUGAAUACAAAUGAAUGAAUGAAAUGCUUUGUUGCUAUAGAUCUUGUCUAUGGAUGACUACCUUUCUGGUCAAGUCUUUGGACAGCUCUUCAGUCACCACACAGAAUAUCUCUGCUCUAGACCUCGCUGGAGUUCAAGGUUGAAUUAUUAUAUGCAAGUUAAUUUGACAAGCCUGGAUGAGGCUACUGAAAACUGGAAAAAGCUACGAGACUGUAACAACCCUUCAUUCUUUUCCAUUUCCAAAGCUCUCUCCCCAUCUCAAGCUAGAAAAUAGUAUAACCAGACUACACAAUGGAACCACUCCUAAAAAAGUUAAUAUUAGCCUCUCAGCUUUUAUCUAAACGUACCAUAGUUUAAGAGCCAUGUAAAAUUUGUUCUACAACUUUACUAUAUGAAACCUUAUUAUAGAAGGGACACCACAGAACUCAAUGGCCCACACAUCAAAGUCCUUGAGUUUAGGACUGAAGAAAAGUCUGCUUUUGUAGAAAACGUGUAUGCUUCAUAUUCUCUUUUACCAGACAAUGAGAAUAACUCGUACUGAUUCCUCAUUUUUCCUUGACUUCUAGGAAUCUCUGUGAUAAAUUCAGGGGACAAUUGCGAGAAUUAUCCUCAGCCAUAAGUCCCUCACAUGGUUAUCACCUGUCCAUUAUGUAUCUUUUUGUCCUUCAUUUUAACAUUUCUUUUAUACAUGGAUCUUAAAGCUGCCUGAAAUUCUGUCUGAAGGUAGAUGGUUAUAUAAUAAGUGACAGGGAACCAUGAACUUGGAUGGUUUAUAAAGAACCUAGAUUCCAGAUCUGCCUCUUUAACAGUAGCUGGAUGACCACUUCAGUCAUUUAUACCUCAAUGCCCACUUUUAACAUCCUUAAACAGGGACUAAUUGUCUCAAGUAAUUUUUCUUCAAGUCCUAAGGUUUUAAAUGGCAGAGCUAAGACCUCUUAACAUGUCUUAAGAGGCAGUUUUCACUAGUUUAAUUGCCACUGAUUUAUGCUGCCGUCAGUACCAUACCAUCCAAAAAUAACUUCUAAAUGACAAAAUCCAUAUCUAACUCACCACACUCUCAAAGUAUUUUGUCUACCCCAUAUUAAUUAGCUAAUUUUCAUUUAUGAUUAAAAAGAUAUAUAUAUUACCUCUUCAAGCCAUGUUCUUGUGGAGAAUUGAUUUGUUGUACCCAUUACCAUGUGGGCUAUGGAUUGUGAGCCAAGUUCAAACCUAGAGAGGGAAAUAUUCAAAAAUGGGUUGUGAAAUAUUCAUUUAACAUAUAUUUUAAGGGCCUCCUAUAUAUAAUACCUUUUAACUAAAAACUGAUGGGUGUGAAAGUAUAAAAUAUGAUGUCUAUCCAAUGUGUAAAGAUCUAGCUCUAAAGAAUAAUACACAUCAACAGCUUAAUAAAAAGUUAAGUAUCCAACAGAACAUGACACAGGCAGGAAGUGCUAUAAGAGUUAGACAAUGACAGAUGCAAACAAGCAAAUGUGUUCGUGGAAGGCCUGGGCUGAACUCUGAGGAGAAAGGCUUCAUAAGUCCAUGGGCUCAGGAAGGGGUUAUGCCAGAUGGAAUGGAAAAUACCCCUGUACAUAUUCACAAAUUAGCACUGAAUUCCAGUUUUAUAUUUUCUACAAAUACUUUAAGUACUUCUACUGCCUAUCUUCAAUUUAAAAAAGUACCUUUAGACUGUUAUUGUUCUUCUACAAACAACAAGGCUGAAACACAGUAAGGUUAUGAACUUAUCCAGUCACAGCACAAUUUUUGGCACCACUUACUUCUGUACAAGUUUGUUCCAGUUUUUCCUCAGAAAUUUCCAGGCCAGUGGGUAUCCUACUGGGUUCCUACCAAUGAGUACAAGAAUUCCUGGAAACUCCUGAGUUUUUAUUUUAUCUCCCUUAAAGCUUUCAUCUAGUAGCCUGAAAGGAUUAAGAAAAGAAAUGUUAGCAAUGAAUAGGUGGUGAAACAGUUAUGAAUCACGGCAAUAAAAUUACUUGUAAAAGAAAAAAAAAGUCUGCCAAUAACAAAGGUUAAAAAGAUAAAUGGGUAACCAGAAUCCUGAUAAACCCACUAUAGCUAUAUAAUAAAAACUAACAUUUAUAUAGUAUUCUCAUAUACCCUCUCAUUUGCUCAAAAGAAUAGUUAAGGAAGAGUAGCUCUAGUAAAUAUUUUAAAUAUGUUGUCUUUUUAAAGAUACACAAAUGUAUAUGCCUUUAAAUAUUUUUCCUGACACCUGGUUCUCCCUAAUUAUUUGCCUUUCUCAUUAGAUGUAUGCUGACUUGCAGUAUGUUCCCAGCAGAAUAGACAAUUCCUGGCCAAGAAAACAAAAAUAGAUGCCAGAAUGAUCUAAUUUAAUCUAAUUUCCCUUGGCCACAUGAACAUGAAUGAAUGACUGACUCACCAUUGAAGCUUUUCCUUAUUUUGGGUUGUGCAGAGGGCAAAUUCAAUUUGUUCUUUCUCAAUACUGGACAAAGAAGACUGAUAUUUACUAUAAAGAAAAUCCCAGCCUUCUGUGCUCUGGGCGCCCACAGCAAACACUGCCAAGGUCACAUCGAUAGGCAGGCUAUAGAAAGCAACACACGAUGAGAAUCUGAGAUGCAGUAAGUAUGUUUAUAGGCAUAAUGGUGACCAAUUAUGAACUGCUAAACUGUCCCCAUGAUCAGAGAAGCAUAACUGAAAAUAUAAACAAAAGCUACCGAUUUCCUUCAGUUACACUUUGUAAAAAAAAAAAGGCAAGAGAAAACUAUCUAAAAUUAGGUUUUAAGUAGCCUUCUCAAAAAUGUAAUGUGAAAUGCCAUUUUUAUAAAUACCUACAUAUUUAAAUACUUUAAUGAUGCUGGGUGAUUCCAUAGGGGAUCACCUUUCAAGCCAAAAGAAAGAAAUUCAAACUAUAUUCAAAAUGUACACCAUGAUCACAAGUCAGGACUGCAGUAGGACCACUGUUUGGAUUUCUCUAAGCUGAAGCAUGUAGAUUGUUGGCAUAAAUGUUUCCUGGGUGGGGUUUAAGCUCCAAAUGUAAAAAGACUGAAAUGUAGCUGAAUAGGGAUUUCCAGAUAUGGUAAAAUCCUACCUUGCUUAGACAGCAUCAGCAAUUACUAUGCAUCCCUGUCAGGGACUUUAGAAGCCCAAAGAAGCUUCUAUAAAAUACAAUGCCUGUGUUUCUCUAUGGCAUGGCUGUCACAGUUGAAAACGAUUUUGCAUUGCCUAUACAAAAAUGGAAAUUAUUCCAAUACCAUCCUAACUCCCCAGAUAUUUGACUUUUAUGCACAGAAGUUCCCUCCUAGCAUUUCUUAAAGUUGAGAGAUGCAUAGAUAAAUCUUAAAAAGUAAUUUAUUUUUCAAAACAGGGCAGCAGGGGAGACACUUAUACUUUUUGUUUUCCCUAAUGUUUAGUACCAAUGAUAGAAAACAGAAAAGAUACCCUUCACAUCAACAAAGUGGUUAUUCAGUAAGGACUGACCUCAAGUUUCCAUUGGAUUCCUUCCACUUCCUGAAAUAGCCUUCUGCCCUCUGUACACACGGCUGAUACCUGCGCACACAGGCGAGGAGGAGUAGCUGACUCCGCAGCAUUCGCUCUGAGACCGAGCCUUCAUCUGUCCACGUCUGCUUAUCAAUGAGGUCCCUUAGCAGCCUGAUGAGGAAGGCCUGACGGCAUUGCACACAGGAACAGGGACUAGUAUUGUCACAGGGAGGAAGUUUCUCAAACAGUAACAUCCAGGGCUAACGUGGAUAAGCCGGAAUGGAAGCACAUCAGCAUCUGUCCCUGUGAAACACUGGAUUGUGUGCUGAACUUCUAGGGUAAGCAAGGGAUUUCCAUCAAAGACCCUUUAGGAAGUCUGGUCAGACUAUCAUCUGGUAAAAACUAUGAGUCCCUGGAGGAAACACAUUUUCUUCUCCAUUUCAAAAGACACUGCAUAUCCUUAGAAACCCUUCAUUACAAAGGGUUAGUGUUAAAAACCUCAGUGGUAGGGUAUAUAUUAUAUAAGCUAAAAAAAAGAAAAAAGAAAGAGCCCUCUACGGCUCAAGCAGAAAUAUUCUACAGAGGGGAAUUUUUUAGGCAGAAAGAAACAGCUAGGUAAGCAACCCUUAACUUUCUCCCCCAUUGCGUUUUCUCACUUCAGGAGGCCCAGUAUGGUGGUGAGAAGAACCAGAAGGCACUCAAAAUUUAGGCCAGAAGGAUAUAGGUAUGAGGAGAAACAGAGAGAAUCCUUCCCACCUGCAUGCUUCCUCUUAGGACUUGAGAUCUGCCUACAUGUUGAAGAAGUUUGAGUUUUAGGCUUUGGGAGCAUUUCCUUAAAAACCGUUGUCAUGGGGGUUAAAAAAAAAGAGGGGGUAGUGUUAAUUCUGUCCUCACACACUCAGAGAUCAUUUGGUUGGGCUACAUUUUAUGGGCUAUAUUCCAUAAAGAUACUGCAAAGUUCAAGUAUCUGGUUUAGGAAAGAAAACAAAAAUCCCUUCUUUAAUCCAAGAAAUAUAAUGCAAACAACUUGGGCCUGUGUCACUUAGUCUUCUAAAAAGCCUUCAAGGCUGUUAAAGACCCAGUGAUGGGAGAAACCUGAUCCGGUAUAGCAGGGCCAGAGGAAGCUGAGGGACCACGCCACCGCAGGGACAAGGCAAGGAGUUUCGCCAGGAUGUUGAUCUCCUGGUUAUCUACACUUCUGCCUCAGUAUGAUCUAAACUGUUAAUGAGAAAGAUUAAGAUACAGAUUCCUUCCUUCAAGUGCCUUAGUAGUCACAGACAGGAGAUUAAUCAUAAGGCUAAAAGCAAUCUUGGGUUGUUAGAAGAACUUGGAGGAAAACACCUUUCAACUUCUUGUUGUCAAUCAAUCAUUUUUGUCUUUAGAAAUCAAGAAUUUGAACAAUAACAUCUGCUUUCAGAAAUAAACCGAGACUUUGUGCAGCGUGUAUUACCUGACGAGCUGAAAUGCAUUGUUAAUGAGACUCGCCCGAUCGUUACUGCUGACUGCUGUGUGUGUUCCUUUUAAAAGGCCAGUCAAAGAGUCCCAUCCAUCAUCCUCGUAAUGCACAAUGUAAUAGCCAUUCAUGCCCACAUUAAAUUUGAUCCAUUCCACCUCUUCUGGGAGGAUGAGCACAUCUAGAGUAAAUAAAAUAAAUCAAAGCUCCAUUUGCUCCCUUGCCUGAUGAAAGCUUUUCUCAUCAGAGACUGGGCAAGGAAAUUAGAGAAGAGUUUAAUACUGAACAAUCUGAAAUCAUCACUUAUUUCUUUCAGAAACCAGAAAACAGCAACUCAAUAGACAAAAGCUAACACUAGCUUUAGACAUCAAUUUUGUGAGAUUUCUAGAUCUAUGAAAAGAAUGCAACUACGUAUCUGGCCAUACAUAUGAUAUAAAACAGUAAUGUUAACAAAGUAAUAGGGAAUGUUCACUGGUAAUCCCUCCUUUUUAGCAUUAUAUAAUUCAACUAUAAUCUCUAUCUGGCAAGAUACUGGCCAUUCUUCUUUGAAACCAGAAAGUAUUUCCAAUCUGAUCCCUUUUGCUUUAACCGAGAUAAACAGCAAAAGAAACAGCAUUUUAACCCUACACAUUUUCACAUUCCUCCUUGAAUUAAACUGGUUGUUUCCAAAAUAAAUUACCUGUUUUUGUUUUUAGCAAAAAUCGAUGGACCAUGUCUGAUUUGCUGGUGAUGAACGUCAAUGGAACAUGCCACAGGUACCUAAAAGAAAGGAGAGAUGGAUUGUUCAUUUGUUGAUUCAAUUCAACAAGCAGUUAUUAAAUCACCUAUCAUGUGCCAAGCACUGGUUAGUUAGAACAAGACAGUACCAAAACUGCUACAGCCAAGCUCUCAAAACAUCCCCAGUCUGUUUUCCAACUUUGCAGGGAGUGUCAGCUCAGGCACUAUUUCUUUUUCUUGGACUCCGUGAGUAGAGCUAAGAAUUUGGACUCAAGUGAACCCUGAAAGCCUUUUUACAGUGAUUGGCUGAUUGCAUCUCAGAGGCCUAACUUCAGGAGUCAUGUGCCUCCUGAAUCGUAUACUAGGAAGGACAAAACAUCACCUCUUUGGGAUUCCUGUCAAUGAUACAUCAACUGAAUCUGAUCAUGGAGAAACAGCAGAAAAUCCAAACUGAACGACAUUCUAUAAAAUAACUGACCUGUACUCUUUAAAAAUGUCAGUAUCAAGAAGCCCAAAAAAGACUAAAAAGUUGUUUCAGAAAAACAUGGAAACCAAAAGGAUGCAACAACUAAAUAAAAUAUGUGAUCCUGUAUUAAA